UGGGGAAUUUUGGACAAUGGGGGAAACCCUGAUCUAGCCAUCCCGCGUGUGCGAUGAAGGCCUUCGGGUUGUAAAGCACUUUUGGCAGGAAAGAAACGUCAUGGGUUAAUACCCCGUGAAACUGACGGUACCUGCAGAAUAAGCACCGGCUAACUACGUGCCAGCAGCCGCGGUAAUACGUAGGGUGCAAGCGUUAAUCGGAAUUACUGGGCGUAAAGCGUGCGCAGGCGGUUCGGAAAGAAAGAUGUGAAAUCCCAGAGCUCAACUUUGGAACUGCAUUUUUAACUACCGGGCUAGAGUGUGUCAGAGGGAGGUGGAAUUCCGCGUGUAGCAGUGAAAUGCGUAGAUAUGCGGAGGAACACCGAUGGCGAAGGCAGCCUCCUGGGAUAACACUGACGCUCAUGCACGAAAGCGUGGGGAGCAAACAGG
rnacentral:rRNA from 1 species